rnacentral:tRNA from 1 species
GUCAGUGUGGCCGAGUGGUUAAGGCGAUUGACUAGAAAUCAAUUCCAUUCGUGGGCAGAGGUUCGAAUCCUCUCGCUGACG